GUGGGUACGGGAGGACUGUCCACGGUGGGCCGGUGAAAAAAGCAAAAUCCACCCGGGCUGUUGUGUAUAUACUUUCAUACGCUAUGUUUUAUUCUUUAACAUUCUACAUUUGUCUUUUUAUAUUUGAAAAUAUAUAAUAUAUUAAUAAAAAUUGAUUGACGUCAAGAAAAUGCAAAAAAGAAACAUAAUCUAUGCAACUGCA
rnacentral:lncRNA from 1 species